CACCACCACCGUCACACCCAUCUAGGUCCUCACAGAGCACCAAGCUGGGCUCCCUGUGUUACACAGCAGCUUGCCAAUAGCUGCCUGUUUCACAUAUGUAUUCUCCAUAGCAAGAACCCAUUAUUUUCAUCAACCCUAAAAACCUAGUCUUUCAAGGCUGAAGAGAGCUCCAGAAGACAAUUUCUGCUGCCAGAAUUAUUUUGAUCUUGCUUGAGUAGUUGGCUGAAGUCCUUGCCAACUUAUUUACCUCAAUUAACUCCACAGCCUUCCUCAACACUUAAGAUCCCAUGGAAGUCGCCAAGAAUGGUGGGGGUGAAGUGUUCCUAGUAGUAGAAAUGAAGAUGAGAGAGUGAACUGAAAAAUUGCUUUAAGAACUCUAAUUGAGGCAAACC
ensembl:lncRNA